rnacentral:tRNA from 1 species
GUGGGAAUAGCUCAGUGGUAGAGCACAUGCUUAGCAUGCAUGAACCUGGGUUCAAUCCCUAGUACCUCCA